AUGCUUAACACAUGCAAGUCGAACGGAAACGACAACAUUGAAUCUUCGGAGGAUUUGUUGGGCGUCGAGCGGCGGACGGGUGAGUAAUGCCUAGGAAAUUGUCUUGAUGUGGGGGAUAACCAUUGGAAACGAUGGCUAAUACCGCAUAAUGCCUACGGGCCAAAGAGGGGGAUCUUCGGACCUCUCGCGUCAAGAUAUGCCUAGGUGGGAUUAGCUAGUUGGUGAGGUAAUGGCUCACCAAGGCGACGAUCCCUAGCUGGUCUGAGAGGAUGAUCAGCCACACUGGAACUGAGACACGGUCCAGACUCCUACGGGAGGCAGCAGUGGGGAAUAUUGCACAAUGGGCGCAAGCCUGAUGCAGCCAUGCCGCGUGUAUGAAGAAGGCCUUCGGGUUGUAAAGUACUUUCAGUUGUGAGGAAGGGGGUAACGUUAAUAGCGUUAUCUCUUGACGUUAGCAACAGAAGAAGCACCGGCUAACUCCGUGCCAGCAGCCGCGGUAAUACGGAGGGUGCGAGCGUUAAUCGGAAUUACUGGGCGUAAAGCGCAUGCAGGUGGUUCAUUAAGUCAGAUGUGAAAGCCCGGGGCUCAACCUCGGAACUGCAUUUGAAACUGGUGAACUAGAGUGCUGUAGAGGGGGGUAGAAUUUCAGGUGUAGCGGUGAAAUGCGUAGAGAUCUGAAGGAACACCAGUGG
rnacentral:rRNA from 1 species